GUAUUGUUCAUUCGUUGAUCACAAUUUGGUAAUUGCUCGUUCAAUUGCCAUCACGUCGUUUUCGCUUUUUCCUGCACAUUUAAAUUAGUUAAAAUAUUAUACAGUAAAAUUAUAGUAUUUUACUUUUAUUGUAUAACUAAAAAUUUGACUAAUGCUUCGAAAAACGUAAAUUAAUUACUUUUUUCGUAACAAUAAGUGAAAUACGCAGUAGAACAGAGCAGCAAAGUGAUCGGAAAAUUGUGGAAAAAAUCACCAAUUUUCUUUUUUUGGAGCUCCUCACGCACCUAAAGAAAAUAUAUACACUUAUUGACUACUGCAGGAAUCGUAGUGAAAAUCGACGCGACAGCAAAAACUAAGCCGUAUGAUAUAAAUCCACUUUAAUUGAAAGCGGAAAGGCUGAGCAGUUUUAUUGGAGCGUAGAACUGGAAUCAAAAACUUCGCAUCGAAGCGGAAAACUUGAAUAUUUCGGUGAAAUAGUUGGUAAUUGAAGCAUUGGAAUCUGCGUGGAUUGCACGGCGUUUGACAUAAAAUAAUAAAAUA